rnacentral:lncRNA from 10 species
GGUGGAGGCGGAAGUGACUGAUCAAUUCAGGGGCGUGGGGUUCGUUUAGGUCUUUUCCUAGUUUUGCCCUGUGUAUGACCUCGUUUGGAGCCAUGAAACCAGGUCUGUGAAAUUUAGUGUCUAUUUUCUACCAUAACACAUGUUAAUUUGGACUAACCACAUUUCGAGUGCUCAGUAGCCACAUGUGGCUAGCGACUACUAUCUUGAGCAAUGCAACGAUAAGUCUGCACUUACGUUCAAAAAGACUUAAAGCAGGGAUCGACAACCCCCAGGCCACAGACUGGUAUGGAUCCAUGGCCUGUUAAGAACUGUGCCACACAGCAGGAGGAAGCUCUUCCACGAGUUCACGAAUGGAAAUAACAUCAAGAGUUUUUCAUCUUCUUAGUGUGCAAGGUUAUUUUAGGGCAAUGAUGGAAAGCACCAAGUGGAGUCUGGAGCUAGACUGAUCUGUGUUCAAUCCUGUCUUGGUUACUCAUUGGGGGGCCUCGACUUUCAUGUCUCUGUAAUGUCCCUGACAGUAUCUGCCUCACAGGGUUGCUGUGAGAGUCAAGCGAGAUGUCUGAGGAAUAGUCUUAGUGGAUUAUCCCAAACUUGACACAUUUUUUGCAAAAUGCUAUACAAAAAGAAGAUACAUGCGAUUAUGACAAGAUUCUCCACUUGGUGUGACCAGUCUCAUACAACCCAAGGCUGUGUGUCCAAAGGCAACUGUACUGAUCUUGACAAUAAUCAAAAGGUAGCCAGGUGCAUCGG